GGUUUUUACUAUAUAAGCAAGUUCAAACAAAAAUAGUAUAAAAUACUAAUUUUAUUGGAUUUAAAGAAGUAAAAGAUAAUUUAGUAAUGAUUUGUUGUGAAAUCAAAAUGAAAUGAGGAGAUUUUGAAAUUUUCUACAAGGAACAUGGCUUAUAUUUUAGCAGAAAAUUUACAGUGGAAAAAAUUAUGAAACUUCAAAAAGUUGUCUGUACUAACUUCUUGAGGCCAGAUUUAAAGUUUCGUGUUAUUCGGAUACUAGAGCAGUAAAAACGGAGCUUAACAGCAAUCUGUUAGAAAUUUUAGUCAGCAGAGUUUUCAGUGAUCGGAAUUGGUCCAAAACUGAAAAGUUCAGGUGAAUUAAUGUUGAUUAACCUUAAUUGAGUUUGCUCGUCAAAUUUGAGCAUAAAGGAAUAUUGAGAAGGGCUCUAAUUAGACGCAUUAAAUCAGAAUUGGACUAAAGUUUAUAUGCUUGAUUCUUGUGGACCUACGGGCAUUUGUUACAUUGCCUAUUUGAUUUCCACUAAUUAGCCAGAGGACCGCUUCAUUCUUACUAGUGAAGGCCCGCGCUUCGCGACAGUAAAUUUACACAUUUUUUAAAAUAUUUUGGACAAACUAAUAUAUUUCUAUAUUUCCGUUGUUAUCAUUCAUUUUUUUUAAAUUUAAGUUUAAGUUUUUUAAUUUUCAAAUCUAAUUUUAAAUUUUAAACUUCAAAAAAUUGAAGAGAGAGAAAGAAAUAAAAAAAUUAUUUAAAUAGAGAGGAAAUUAGUAUACUGAUUAGCUAUAAAUUUAACAAAAUAUUCUGUUGAUAUUAUAAAAUGAUAACAAAAUAAGCAAGUUUUAAAUAAGUGAAUAGAAUAAUUAGUUAGUAAAUUGAGGAAUAAUGAAAUAGAUGGAAUGAAAACAAAAUUAAAAAUAGAUGGAAUGGCAACAAAAAUGAUA
rnacentral:lncRNA from 1 species